GGAACACCAGCGACCCAACCCCGUCAGAGCAGGAAUGAAGCA
rnacentral:SRP_RNA from 1 species